CGGCACCUCAGGUCAGGCGGGGCUACCC
rnacentral:rRNA from 1 species